rnacentral:rRNA from 1 species
UGGGGAAUAUUGCACAAUGGGGGAAACCCUGAUGCAGCGACGCCGCGUGAACGAAGAAGGUAUUCGUAUCGUAAAGUUCUGUCCUAUGGGAAGAUAAUGACAGUACCAUAGAAGAAAGCUCCGGCUAAAUACGUGCCAGCAGCCGCGGUAAUACGUAUGGAGCGAGCGUUGUCCGGAAUUAUUGGGCGUAAAGGGUACGCAGGCGGUUUAAUAAGUCGAAUGUUAAAGAUCGGGGCUCAACCCCGUAAAGCAUUGGAAACUGAUAAACUUGAGGAGUGGAGAGGAAAGUGGAAUUCCUAGUGUAGUGGUGAAAUACGUAGAUAUUAGGAGGAAUACCAGUAGCGAAGGCGACUUUCUGGACCCAUACUGACGCUGAGGUACGAAAGCGUGGGGAGCAAACAGG